ACAGGGAUUGCCUCAGUAACGGCGAGUGAAGCGGCAAAAGCUCAAAUUUGAAAUCUAGCACUUUCAGUGUUCGAGUUGUAAUUUGAAGAAGGUAACUUUGGUUUUGGCUCUUGUCUAUGUUCCUUGGAACAGGACGUCACAGAGGGUGAGAAUCCCGUGCGAUGAGAUGCCCAAUUCCAUGUAAAGUGCUUUCGAAGAGUCGAGUUGUUUGGGAAUGCAGCUCUAAGUGGGUGGUAAAUUCCAUCUAAAGCUAAAUAUUGGCGAGAGACCGAUAGCGAACAAGUACAGUGAUGGAAAGAUGAAAAGAACUUUGAAAAGAGAGUGAAAAAGUACGUGAAAUUGUUGAAAGGGAAGGGCUUGAGAUCAGACUUGGUAUUUUGCGUUCCCUUCCUUUUUGGUUGGGUUCCUCGCAGUUUACUGGGCCAGCAUCGGUUUGGAUGGUAGGAUAAUGACAUUGGAAUGUAGCUUUACUUCGGUGAAGUGUUAUAGACUUUGUUGAUACUG
rnacentral:rRNA from 1 species